rnacentral:rRNA from 1 species
GUGCCAGCCGCCGCGGUAAUACCGGCAGCUCAAGUGAUGUCCAAUAUUAUUGGGCCUAAAGCGUCCGUAGCUGGCCGCGCAAGUCCGACGGGAAAUCCACCUGCCCAACAGGUGGGCGUCCGGCGGAAACAGUUUGGCUUGGAACCGGAAGGCUCAGAGGGUACGUCCGGGGCGGAGUGAAAUCCCGUAAUCCCGGACGGACCACCGAUGGCGAAAGCACUCUAAGAAGACGGCUUCGACAGUGAGGGACGAAAGCUAGGGUCUCAAACCGGAUUAGAAACCCCGGUAGUCC